GUUACCACAACAUUUUAUUAAUAUACUUAUUUUUGAUAAUUCAAAUUUCCCGCAUUUUUACACGUGCUUUUACUGUUUGAAACACGUGUUAUUUCUUAUCAGUUUCAUUUAGAUUCCCACAUGGCAUUGUGAAGAAAGAUUGUGUUUCGCUUUCGAUAUUUUCGAUUUUCGUGCAAUCUUUGGUAAACUACAGUGUGAGUUAAUUUUUAUAUUAUUUUAUUUUAUAACUUUAAGUAAAUAUUUCAUAUUUUUGAUAAGUUUAAGCAAUUAAUUAUCUACGUUUUCUUUGUUUGAACUGCCGAUUAACGUGCACACAGGUCAUGUUUGUUUACAUCAGCAUUUUGUAUGUUUUGCAUUAUGUACACCGUUUAUUUUAGGAUAAUUAAUUAUUUUAGCGUUAAAGUUAAAAUAUUAUUCUUGCAAUUGUAUUUUUCUUAUUAAAUUUAAGCUAAUUAACCUUUUAGUAGUACAGAGUUGCUAGCGGGUAAAAAAUCUAUGGAACGCCGUUAGUGCCAUCUUUACACCUGUAUUUCUAUUUUUAUAAUUUUUUACUUUAUGGAAUGCAAUUAAUGCCAAAGUUGUUUUACGUUAAUUUUGCUAUUUACUUCAUGUUUGUUUAUGUUUUGAACUUAUAAUUAUUCAUAGGAAUUUUUAUACUUAAAAAUAAAUGUAUGGAGGUCAAUGAGUGUCAUUUUGACAAUGUUUAUUUUCUUGUAAUUUUUCGGUAAAUUACGGCAUUUGAGUUUAUGAUUUUUAUUUUUCUCUUUGUAGCUUUUUACUAUAUGUAUUAUGUGAUUAUCUGCAACGAUGAAGCAUUUUAAUAAAGAAUUUGAAACUAACGUAGUUUGAAGACUUUAAAGUAAAAAGACUGCAUCCUUUACCACAGGGAUGAGCACUGAAACAGUAAUUCGUAAAAUGGAAAAGGUUCAAGGCAAACCUUUUAUGGAAACUGAAGAUGAAAUAAACGAUGACGGUCAAGGCAACCUACCAUUUAUUAUUGAUGAUUCAAUUAAAACACAAUCACAUGAAGACGUAAAGCCAAUACGGGUGAGAAAGUUAACGUCCGGGGGAGAGGAAAUGUACGAAAAAGACGUUGAAAAAUACACUGCGGAGCUAAUCCACUAUAGGAAGAACCUAGAUAUCUUAAUCAAUAGUUACUACUCAGGAGAACUAGAAAUAUCAGAUGUUAGAUUAAUGCCAGACAGAAUUAAAACGGAACUGUCAAAAUAUCAACAAAUUUCAGAAAAAUUCAUCGGCUUUUUGAACAGAUACAGACCGCAGAGAGCGCCCGGGAAGAGGCAAUACAAAAAUUAAUCUACAAAAGUAUUAUGUCAAAGGCUAAAACAAUUUUAAAUGAGAUCGACAUUAAAUUGAAGCAGGUGCAAUCAGUAAAAUCUUUCGCUACUGGUAGAAAAUCUAAAUCCUCCUCCGCAAGUUCAAUGCUAAUUAAACAAAGAGCAAAAAUGGAUGCUGCUAAGACAAAUCUACGCUUUGUAAGUAAAGAGGCAGAACUUGAAAGAUUACAAUUUAAGCUUGAAGAGGAAGAACUUAAAACAAAAGCAGAAUUAUUAAAGAAGAAAGUCGAAGCAAAGUUACAAAUGGAACUUUUAAAAUCAGAGAAAGAAGUUGCAAUUGCUGAAGCUGAGUUUAAUGCCGUCCGUGAAGAGUUGGAGAUGGAGGGAUCACGAUCUAGCGGUAGAUCCAUGGCGUCAGUUGUUGAUCCUCGUCAACACAUCGAGAGGUAUCUACAGGAACAACAGGAAAUAAUGAAAUCAGGAUAUACAAAUCCUCAACAAAUGCAACCUCCAGAGCUCAACGUUCACGCCGCACCGUUUGAACCUAAAUCCGAAGAUAUUAGACAAACAAAUUGUGAAAUCAACAACGUUUCCGUGGCAAACGAACUCUCAAAGUUCUUAUUAAAGAAGGAUUUAUUGAUGUCUCGUUUUAUGAAAUUUAACGAUCAAGCAGAGUCUUAUCAUGUUUGGAAAGCUUCGUUUUCCAAUAUAACUCAAGAACUUAGCGUCAACGCUCGUGAGGAACUUGAUUUAUUGAUGAAAUGGCUUGGGCCAGAAUCAUCAAGACAUGCAGAAAGUCUAAGGAUAGCCAAUGCAAGAGACCCAGUAAAAUGUCUGAAGCGGGUAUGGGAAAGACUUGAAGAGAGAUAUGGCGGACCAGAAAUGAUUGAAACGAAUGUGAAAUCAAAAUUGAAUAAAUUUCCAAUAAUUACCAACAAAGACCACAAGAAAUUAUAUGAACUUAGCGACAUUUUAACAGAAAUCGAAUCCCUGAAAGAGGACGAAAGAUACGCACAGUUAUUGUCUUACUUUGAUACUUCGCUAGGCGUUAACACCGUGAUAACUAAAUUACCAUAUGGGAUUCAGAACAAGUGGAUUGAUAGAGCCAUGCGAUACAAGCAAAACCAUAACGCACUGUAUCCACCAUUUCCGUUUUUCGUCGGUUUCAUCAGAGAAAUGUGCAAACAAUUCAAUGACCCAGGCUUUGCUUUUAAAGAAGACACCAAACCUCAACACACAAAAUCGUAUCCUAACAACAAUAGAUAUAACAACAAAGUCACAGCUAGAAAGACAGAUGUAUCACAAGAAAAACAGUUUAAAUCUACUGGCUCGACUGAUAAACUUACAGAAUGUCCUAUUCACCAUUCAAAACACUCGUUGAACAGUUGUAGAGGAUUCCGACUAAAAAGUAUAAAUGACAGAAAGAAAAUUCUUCGAGAAAACAACAUCUGUUACAAAUGUUGCGAGUCAGCAACGCACAUAUUUCGAGAUUGUAAGGAGUCCGUCACAUGCAAAGAUUGCGGAAGUAACCGACAUUCAACAGCUAUGCAUAUCGAUAGGAAUGAUCAAAAUACAAGAGAAAUAGAACCCGUGUCCUCUCAUGGCGGGGAGGGACCAUUGCUUCAAAAUGUAGAAACGAAGUGUACUGCAAUUUGUGGGGAAGGAUUUUCUGGCAAAUCCUGUUCAAAGGUGGUACUUGUCAAGGUUUACAAGAAAGACGAACCUGAGAAAUCCGUACAUCUUUAUGCGUUAAUGGACGAUCAAAGUAAUCGUACGCUAGGCCGUACAGAGUUAUUCGAUGCACUGAAUAUAGAUUCAGCCGUUCAACCUUACACUUUAUCUUCCUGUGCAGGAAGUGUUCAAAAGCAAGGCCGUCUUGCUAGCGGGUUAGUCGUUGAACCUAUAGAUGGACGAAUAAGAAUGGAUUUACCAACUGUAAUUGAAUGCAACGACAUUCCUGAAACGAGAGAAGAAAUUCCGGUGCCAGAAAUCACAAAAUAUUACGAACACUUGAAGCGUAUUACAUUACCACCUAUAGAUCCGGAUGCACAUAUUCUCUUACUGAUCGGUAGAGACUUGGCCGAUGCACACCACGUCUAUGAGCAAAAGACAGGAGCUCAAAACACGCCAUUUGCACAACGACUCAGUUUAGGAUGGGUCAUUAUCGGUGAAGUAUGCUUAGGCCAAACGCACAAGCCUAAUUCGAAGGUAAACGUGUAUAAAACAAACAUUCUAAACAAUGGAAGGCCAACAUCAUUUGACGUAUGUAAAAACGUCUUUAACGUUAAAGAAAUUGUCAACAAUCACCAAGAUACCGUGGAAGAUCAGAUAUUCUACAGGACAAAGGACGAUAAUAAGAUUGGCAUGUCCGUAGAAGACCAUGUAUUUAUAGACAUCAUGGACAAGGAAUUUGUCAAAAGUGAAACAGGCAAUUGGAGUGCUCCUCUACCGUUCCGGAAGCAUAGACCUCGAUUACCUGACAACAGAUCUCAAGCAUUGAGAAGGGCUAGAAUGCUCGACCAGUCUCUUCAUAAAAGUACGAGUAAGCGUCAACAUUUUGUAGAAUUCAUGGGAAACAUGUUUCGUAAUGGUCAUGCUGAAGAAGCUCCAACUUUGAAACAAGGCGAAGAAUGUUGGUAUCUGCCUUUAUUUGGAGUGUACCACCCUAAGAAAAAAGAUAAAAUAAGGGUUGUUUUCGAUUCCUCGGCUAAACAGGAUGGCAUAUCCUUAAAUAAUGUUCUACUCUCUGGACCGGAUUUUACAAAUAGUUUGGUUGGAGUAUUGCUAAGAUUCAGAAAAGAAAGAAUUGCAGUAAUCGCCGACAUAGAGCAAAUGUUUUACUGUUUCAAGGUAAACAGUGCACACCGUAACUAUUUACGAUUCUUUUGGUACAAGAACAACAUUCCUGGACAGCAGCUUAUAGAAUACAGAAUGUGUGUCCACGUUUUUGGGAACACACCGUCACCAGCAAUUGCCACCUACGGGCUAAGGAAAUGUGUUGAAAAUGAACAAACAGAAAGCGAUGUCAAAGAAUACGUUAAUAGAAAUUUUUAUGUGGAUGACGGACUGGCUAAUUUUACAAAUGAGGAAGAAGCUAUCAGUGUCCUUAAAAGGACUCAGCAAUCUCUACUUGAAAACGGAAAAUUGAAACUUCAUAAAAUUGCAUCGAACAGUGAAGAAGUAAUGAACGCUUUCAAUCCAAAUGAGUUGGCUAAAGAGCUCAAAACCUUAGAUCUAAACGAAGAUGAGCUACCUAUUCAGCACAGUCUUGGAAUGAGUUGGGACUUGCAACAGGACUCGUUUAGCUACAAAUUAUCAAACGAAGAGAAACCUGUAACACGUAGAGGUGUGUUAUCAUCAAUAAAUAGCUUGUUCGACCCAUUAGGUUUUAUCGCCCCUGUCAUUCUACAAGGUAGAAUUCUAAUGAGAGAUAUAAUUGCCGAAACCACUGACUGGGACUUACCACUAUCUAAUGAUAUUCAGCAAAAAUGGCUAGAAUGGAGAAACUCUUUAAGGCCAAUAGAACAAUUUUCAAUACGAAGAACAUUUGUAGAAUCGUCUUUCUGUACAAGCUUGGACAAACAGUUACACAUUUUCUCGGACGCCUCAGAACAGGCAAUAGCAAGUGUAGCUUUUUUGAGAACAUCUAACGCAGAGUUUUCUAUCAACACCGGUUUCGUAUUCGGAAAAUGCAAAGUGGCACCAAAACAUGGCCAUACAAUACCACGAUUAGAACUAUGUGCCGCAGUUAUGGCUGUUGAAAUCGGAGAGAUAAUCUGUGAACAUCUAGACAUGAACUCGGCUGAGAUAAAGUACUAUACAGAUAGUAAGGUAGUGCUAGGUUACAUUAACAACCAAGUUAGACGUUUUCAAGUCUAUGUUGCAAACCGAGUUGGUAAAAUUAGGAAAGCUUCAAAACCGGAACAAUGGACGUAUGUAAAUACUGAUCUUAAUCCAGCCGAUAUUGGAACAAGACUUAUAUUUGCAGAUCAGCUACAAACUAGUUCUUGGCUUACAGGACCCACAUUCUUACAGGAAUCUGACACGCUUAGUCAAAGCAUUGCUACUACUUUUCCUCUCAUAAAUCCUAACACUGACAAAGAAUUGAAAACAGAAAUACAAGUCAUAAAAUCUGUUUUAAAAUGUGAUACCCUUGGGUCACAAAGAUUCAACCGAUUCUCCAAUUGGUGGAAAUUAGUUCGUACCAUUUCACGCCUACAGCGACUUGCUAGUAGUUACUCUCACAACAAAUUAAAGGCCAAUUUGGAGUCAAACGAGCUUGACGCUCAUCGAAAAGCUGAAGUUUUUAUCAUUAAAGAAGUUCAAAAGGAGGACUUUGGUAGAGAAAUCGAGUGUCUCAGAAAUAAAAGGCCUCUGCCUAACAACAGUUCCGUGUUAUCUUUGAGUCCCGUCUUGGACGAAAAUGGAAUUUUGAAAGUAGGGGGAAGACUUCGAAAUGCUAAAAUCACAUCAAAAGAAAAAACACCGAUCCUUAUUUCUGGAAAACAUCAUAUUGCUACUUUGCUUGUCCGUCACUACCAUUACGAUGUACAACAUCAAGGGAGACAUCUUACUGAAGGUACCAUUCGAUCUGCUGGGUGGUGGAUUACAGGCUGCAAACGACUGGUCUCAUCUAUAAUUUUUAAAUGCGUUAAAUGUCGACGACUUCGAGGUUCGUUGAGUGAACAGAAAAUGGCUGAUUUACCAGACGUAAGAUUAUCGCCAUGUGCACCGUUUAGUUUUGUUGGUGUAGAUGUUUUUGGACCAUGGAGCAUAGUAACCAGACGCACUAGAGGAGGUGUAGCAAAUUCUAAGAGAUGGGCAGUCUUAUUUACAUGCUUAGCAUCUAGAGCAGUCCAUAUAGAGGUAAUAGAAGAAAUGAGUUCCUCUUCUUUCAUCAACGCUCUACGCCGAUUCUAUGCACUUCGAGGCAAAGUGCAAGAAUUCCGUUCUGACAGAGGUUCGAACUUCGUUGGAUGUACCGACGCCCUGCAAAUCGAUGCAUUAAACGUUGAAGAUGGCGAAGUAAAAACACUUCUCAACAAGAAUAGGACAAUAUGGAAAUUUAAUACGCCUCAUUCUUCUCACAUGGGUGGCUCAUGGGAGCGAAUGAUUGGAAUAGCUCGUAAAAUUCUAAAUAACAUGCUUUUCGACGUGAGAUACAAGAAUUUGACUCACGAAGUUCUAACAACAUUUAUGGCAGAGGUAACAGCCAUUAUAAACGCCCGACCGAUUGUACCAGUCUCCACUGAUUCUGAGAAUCCUACAAUACUGACACCUUCUCUAUUAUUAACUCAGAAAACAUCUGAUCAGGAAGAUAGCUUUGAAAAUAUAACAUCAACUACAUGUAUGUACCAAUCACAAUGGAAAUAUGUUCAAACAUUAGCUGAGAUAUUUUGGAAACGUUGGAGUAGGGAAUAUCUGCAAACAUUACAAAAGAGACAAAAGUGGAAAAAGGAAGUGACAAAUUUGAAACAGGGCGACAUUAUUCUUAUGCGAGAAAAAGACAUGGUUAGGACCGAAUGGCCAAUUGGAACAAUAUUAAGAACAUUCGCCAGCGAAAAUGACAAUCUUAUAAGGAAAAUAGAAGUGAGAGUUAUUAAACAAGGAAAACCAGUUAUUUAUGUUCGUCCGAUUACAGAGAUUGUGAAGCUAUUGUCUGAGUGAUACUUUUGAACAAUAUUUGAACUGUUGAUAUGUACAUUGACUUUAUUAGUUUAACAUUUUAGAUAGUAGUUACAAAAAUGUGCCUUAGAUUUAAGUAGUCUAGUUAAUUUUCUUUUUGAGAUUUUUGUUAACGAGGUUUUUUAGCUCAUACUUGAAGUCUUAAGUAUUUUUGUUUAAAACCUAGGGUGAUAUUGUUAUAUCAGACGGGGAGUGUCAUGUUACCACAACAUUUUAUUAAUAUACUUAUUUUUGAUAAUUCAAAUUUCCCGCAUUUUUACACGUGCUUUUACUGUUUGAAACACGUGUUAUUUCUUAUCAGUUUCAUUUAGAUUCCCACAUGGCAUUGUGAAGAAAGAUUGUGUUUCGCUUUCGAUAUUUUCGAUUUUCGUGCAAUCUUUGGUAAACUACAGUCUUUUUACUAUAUGUAUUAUGUGAUUAUCUGCAACGAUGAAGCAUUUUAAUAAAGAAUUUGAAACUAA